rnacentral:rRNA from 1 species
UACGUAGGGUGCGAGCGUUGUCCGGAAUUAUUGGGCGUAAAGGGCUCGUAGGCGGUCUGUUGCGUCAGGAGUGAAAACUCGGGGCUUAACCCCGAGCCUGCUUCUGAUACGGGCAGACUAGAGGUAUGCAGGGGAGAACGGAAUUCCUGGUGUAGCGGUGAAAUGCGCAGAUAUCAGGAGGAACACCGGUGGCGAAGGCGGAUCUCUGGGCCUUACCUGACGCUCAGGUGCGAAAGCUAGGGGAGCGAACAGG